AACAGGAUUAGAUACCCUGGUAGUCCACGCUGUAAACGAUGUCGACUUGGAGGUUGUUCCCUUGAGGAGUGGCUUCCGGAGCUGACGCGUUAAGUCGACCGCCUGGGGAGUACGGCCGCAAGGUUAAAACUCAAAUGAAUUGACGGGGGCCCGCACAAGCGGUGGAGCAUGUGGUUUAAUUCGAUGCAACGCGAAGAACCUUACCUACUCUUGACAUCCAGAGAACUUAGCAGAGAUGCUUUGGUGCCUUCGGGAACUCUGAGACAGGUGCUGCAUGGCUGUCGUCAGCUCGUGUUGUGAAAUGUUGGGUUAAGUCCCGCAACGAGCGCAACCCUUAUCCUUUGUUGCCAGCGAUUCGGUCGGGAACUCAAAGGAGACUGCCAGUGAUAAACUGGAGGAAGGUGGGGAUGACGUCAAGUCAUCAUGGCCCUUACGAGUAGGGCUACACACGUGCUACAAUGGCAUAUACAAAGAGAAGCGACCUCGCGAGAGCAAGCGGACCUCAUAAAGUAUGUCGUAGUCCGGAUUGGAGUCUGCAACUCGACUCCAUGAAGUCGGAAUCGCUAGUAAUCGUGGAUCAGAAUGCCACGGUGAAUACGUUCCCGGGCCUUGUACACACCGCCCGUCACACCGUGGGAGUGGGUUGCAAAAGAAGUAGGUAGCUUAACCUUCGGGAGGGCGCUUACCACUUUGUGAUUCAUGACUGGGGUGAAGUCGUAACAAGGUAACC
rnacentral:rRNA from 1 species